rnacentral:rRNA from 1 species
AUGCCUCCGAUUGCGGCAGACAAGGAAGAGUUAGAUAGGCUGUAUAACCAAGUAGCUGGAUCUGUCGUUCUACUUCUUCGGUCCAAAGAUGGUGACUCCGUUGAUUUUGGCACCGGAAUUGUCCUUUUUUCGGAUGAAAGUAGAGCAUUGAUUGGCGUAGAUAAAUCUCAAAUCAAGGAUGGCGAGACUAUUACAGUUCGGUUCCAUGACAGUACACAAAGCGUUGCGAGUGUCUUUUUGAAAAAGACAACACAAAAGCACGCGGUUCUACUAGUGUAUUCCACUGCUCGCCCUCCUCCUGUCAGGUUCAAUGUGUCUCCAACCACGAGGCAAGAUAUUUUCAUGCUUGGUGUGGUGGAAGAGGAUGAGACACUUGGUUUGAUGACUGGAACUGUCGGCAAUCCGAACUGCAGAGCUGUUGAUAGGGCAAGGAAUCCUAUUUAUCGAAGCGAGAGUACAUUUGCUGUGAGUUUCCCCAUGUCAGGACGAAGUUUGGUUCCAAACGAUAAGGAAAAGGUUGAAGAAACCAAGGAGAUUAUGCAAUUGAUUGGAGCGCCCGUGUUUGACAUGAGUGGUUUGGUUAUUGGUACAAUCGAUUGUGCUGAUCCGGAUUCGUAUAAUCUGAAAUUUGCAAUUAAAACCAUUUUUUUUCUGGAUAAGCUGGAAAAGUUUUUAAAGGAUAAGGAUGAGCAGAUUUAUCUUUCAAGGGGUGAGGAAGGCACUGGAACGAGCGGGCAGGGUAGUUCCACUUCAGCACCGGAGAGUAAAAAGAGGGAACGUGCAGAUUCACCUCCAAGUGAUACGAGGAAAGGAAAAAGUUUAUGCAUGGAUCAACUUGAAGCUAACAUGGCGGUGGUCAGUGAAGAGCAGCUAAGGUUACACAAGUCCCCGGUCCAAGUUGAGAUGGAUUUUGGAAGACGAGAAGCAACGCAACGGGCGCUCAUGAGGCUUGUUACCCCAGAAUCUGAUGAUGAAUGGAGGAGCUCCCCAUCUUAA